rnacentral:tRNA from 1 species
AGAAAUAUGAUAAGCAAGAAUAAGCUUCUAACUUCAUUCUUUAGUGGUGAAACCCCAUUAAUAUUUCUA